GAUGAACGCUGGCGGCGUGCCUAAUACAUGCAAGUCGAGCGAACAGACGAGGAGCUUGCUCCUCUGACGUUAGCGGCGGACGGGUGAGUAACACGUGGAUAACCUACCUAUACGACUGGGAUAACUUCGGGAAACCGGAGCUAAUACCGGAUAAUAUAUUGAACCGCAUGGUUCAAUAGUGAAAUACGGUUUUGCUGUCACUAAUAGAUUGCUCCGCGCCGCAUUAGCUAGUUGGUAAGGUAACUGCUUACCAACGCAACGAUGCGUAGCCGACCUGAGAGGGAGGUCGGACACCUGGGAAGUGAGGCUGGGCAGAGACACCGACGGUGGGCAGCAGUAGGGAAUCUUACGCGAAGGGGGAGUGCCGGACGGAGCAACGCGGGGUGAAGCAUGAUGGUGCUCGGAUCGGAGAACUCUGUUAGUAGGAGAGAACAAAUGUGUAAGUAACUAGGCAGGUAUUGACGGUACCGAAUGAGAAAGCCACGGCUAACUACGUG
rnacentral:rRNA from 1 species